GAAAAAACAGCAAAAAACAGAAGAAAGAAUUGCUGCUUCUGCUGAGAAGUUGAAGGAAUCGGUGAGCUCCUCUGAGGAUAUCUCUGCAAAAACGAAAAGUGUCAUUGAGCUGAAAAAGCUUCAAUUGCUGGAACUGCAGCGUCGCUUACGGAGUGAAAUUCUCUAUGAUUUUUUCAAGCCAGUAGCAACUGAUAUGGAGCGUUUAAAAUCAAUCAAGAAGCACAGAAUUGGGAGGAAAUCAAAGCAAUUUGAAAGAUAUGAACAAAGAAUGAAGGAGGAACGUCAAAAGAGAUUUCGUGAGAGACAGAAGGAGUUUUUCAGUGAGAUUGAAGUUCAUAGGGAAAGAUUGGAAGAUGUAUUUAAAAUGAAGAGAGAACGCUGGAAAGGUUUCAAUAAGUAUGCGAAGGAGUUCCAUAAAAGGAAGGAACGGAUACAUCGUGAGAAGAUUGACAGGAUCCAACGUGAGAAGAUUAAUUUGCUGAAAAUCAAUGAUGUUGAGGGAUACCUUCGAAUGGUUCAGGAUGCAAAGUCGGAUCGUG
rnacentral:misc_RNA from 1 species